rnacentral:rRNA from 1 species
UAAGGAAUAUUGGACAAUGGAGGAAACUCUGAUCCAGCCAUGCCGCGUGAAGGAUGAAGGCGCUCAGCGUUGUAAACUUCUUUUGAAUGGGAACAAAUGGCCCGACGUGUCGGGUCUUGAGGGUACCAUUAGAAUAAGCACCGGCUAACUCCGUGCCAGCAGCCGCGGUAAUACGGAGGGUGCAAGCGUUAUCCGGAAUCACUGGGUUUAAAGGGUGCGUAGGCGGUUUGGUAAGUCCGUCGUGAAAUUCCAUGGCUUAACCAUAGGGACUGCGAUUGAUACUGCCAAACUUGAAUCAGGUUGAGGUCGGCGGAAUGUGACAUGUAGCGGUGAAAUGCAUAGAUAUGUCAUAGAACACCGAUUGCGAAGGCAGCUGGCUGGGCCUGAAUUGACGCUGAGG